CACGUAGGGCGCAAGCGUUGUCCGGAAUUAUUGGGCGUAAAGAGCUCGUAGGUGGUUUGUUACGUCUGCUGUGAAAACCUAGGGCUUAACCCUGGGCUUGCAGUGGAUACGGGCAGACUAGAGGUAGGUAGGGGAGAAUGGAAUUCCUGGUGUAGCGGUGAAAUGCGCAGAUAUCAGGAGGAACACCGGUGGCGAAGGCGGUUCUCUGGGCCUUACCUGACACUGAGACGCGAAAGCGUGGGGAGCGAACAGG
rnacentral:rRNA from 1 species